UCAAAGUCCAUGUAGUUCUGAGAAAGUCUC
rnacentral:piRNA from 1 species